rnacentral:lncRNA from 1 species
CUUAAUGUAGACAACUUGACAAGUUUGGAGGUAAGCAUACACCUAUGAAAGAAUCAAUACAAUCUAUGCCAUGAAUAUAUCCAUUACCUCCAAAUGUUUCCUCCUCCCCCUCUCUGUUAUUAUUAUUAUGAGUUCCUUGUAUAUUCUGGAUAUUAGCCCUUUGUCAGAUGGUCAGAUGAGUAGAUUGCAAAGAUUUUCUCCCAUUCUGUAGGUUGCCUGUUUAGUCUGAUGGUAGUUUCUUUUGCUGUGCAGGUUGUUAAUUUAUUUCACCAACUUCUGUCUCUUAAAUAUGUUUGGUAAUUGGGUGGAAUCUCUGACAAUUUUUUUUUGGUAUAUAGGUUUGGUUUUUAAAUAAUUAUCUGGGGUUGCCAAAUUCAAUAAUAUUAAUACACAGUUGUUUAGCUUCAAUAUGUUUAUCAUAAUUUUGUAAAACUUUUCACUUAGGGGUUUGUCCAAGCUCUGCAUGGCAACAAUUUUGUGCUUCUCCUUCAUUGUGCUGGCUAUUCUGGGUCUUUUGCCUUUCCACAUAAAUCUUAGAAUAACUUUGUUGAUAUCCACAAAAUAACUUGCUGGAAUUUUAAUUGGGAUUGUGUUGAUCCUAUAAAUCAAGUUAGGAAGAACUGAUGUCCUGACAAUAUUGAGUCUGCCUCUCCGUAAACACAGAAUAUCUCUUCAUUUACUGGGCUCCUCUUUGAUUUCUUUCAUCAGCUUUCCUCAUGUAGAUCUUGCACAUAUUUUGUUAGAUUUACACAAAAGUGUAUCAUUUUGGGGGGCACAAAUGUAAAUGUUAUUGCGUUUUUAAUUUAAAAUUCCACCUUUCAUUACUGGUAUAUAGAAAACAGAUUGACUUUUGUAUAAUACCCAUGCAUCCUGCAGCCUUGCUGUGCUUAUUAGUUUUAGGAGGUUUUAUUAUCUGGUUUGUUCUUUCUGACUUUCUACAUAGAUGACUGUCAUUUGUGAACAAAGAUGGUUUUUAUUUCUCCUUGCCCGUCAGUAUGCUUUAAAAAAAAACUUCGUUUAUUUGGUUAGCUAGGACUUCCAGUAUGAUACUGAAAAGAAGUGGUAAGAAGACCAUCCUUGCCGUGUUCACAAUCUUAGUGGGAAAGUUUCUCAUUUCUUAUCGUUACGUGUAAUGUUAGCUGUCAGUUUUUUGAUAAAUAUUGUAGGGGAGGCAAAAUUUUACCUCUACCCUUGUAAAGUCCCAGUUAAGCCUGAGAAUUAAAUUGACUUAAGAGAGUAAUGGGAGAGAAGCAUACAAAUUGAAUUUAAAUUUUACAUGAUAUGGAGUCCUCAUAAGGAAAUGAUGAUCCAAAGAAGUGGCGAGUUUGUAUGCUUUUAUAUUAGGUUGAACAAAGAGAGGUAGUCAUGGAAAAGUAACUAAAUUAUAUGGGGAGGCUAAUGGAAGGUAGAAAAGGUAGAAUUAUUUUAACAGGAUUUGUUUGCCCAGAAUUCUCUGGAUAUGAUUCUCUAUUGAAGGAUGUUUCUUUUCUCCUGCUAUAGAGGGGGCAUCUUCCCUAUGAGUUUUUCUCUUCUGUUUUCAGGAAGAAAAGGGGAAGAUUAGAAUGCCUUCUUGCAAAUGAUGUUUUUUAAGUGCCUUUAGUCUGAAGUAAUACUAUGUCAAAGUGGCAUAUUUUGAGGUGGCGUGUUAUGUCACCCUUCAAUAUUCCUUAUCUAGUGUCCUCUAUUCCUAGUUUACUGACAGCUUUAUUGUGAAAGCAUCUUGAAAUUUAUAAUGAUUUUUAUGUAUCCAUUGAUAUCAUCAUGUGAUUUUUCUUCUUUAGAUUGCUGAUGUGAUGAAUUACAUUAAUUAAUUUUUGAAUGUCGAACCAGUUGCCCACCAGGGAUAAAUCUCACUAUGGGUGUGAUAUAUAAUUCUUGUUAUUCAUUGCUGGAUUUGAUUUGUUAAUAUUCUGCUGAGGACUUUUGCGUCUAUGAUCAUAAGAGAUAUUGGUCUGUAGUUCUGUUUUCUUGCAGUGCCUUUGUCUGGUUUGACUAUUAUGGUGAUGUUGACCUCAUACAAUGAGUUAGGAAGUAUUCCCUCUGUUUCUAUAUUCUGGAAGAGAUUGUAGAGGAUUGGUAUAAUUUCUUCCUUAAAUGUAUGGUAAAAUUUAACAGUGAACCCAUCUGGGCCUGGUGCUCUCUGUUUUGAAAUAUUAUUAAUUAUUGAUUCAAUUUCUUUAAUAGAUAUAGUCCUAUUUAGAUUGCCUCUUUCUUCUUGCUUUGUCAGAUUGUGUCUUUCAAGGACUUGGUCCCUUUCGUCUACCUUAUCAAAUUUGUGUUCAUGCAGUUGAUUAUAAUAUUUCUUGAUUAUCCUUUUAUUGUCUAUGGGAUCUCCAGUGAUGUCUCCUCUUUCACUUCUGAUAUGAAGAAUUUUUUUUUUUGAUUGACCUAGCUAGAAUCUUACCUAUUUUCUAGGUCUUUUCAGAGAACGAGCAUUGGGUUUCAUUGAUUUUUUCCUGUUAAUUUCCUAUCUUCAACUGUGUUGAUUUAUGUUGUAAUUUUCAUUAUUUCUUUUUUUCUGAUUACCUUGAAUUUAAUUUGCUCUUCCUUUUCUAGUUUCCUAAGAUAGAAGCUUAGAUGAUUGAUAUUAGAUCUCCCUUCUUUUCUAAUAUAUGCAUUCAAUGCUAUAAAUUUCCCUUUAAGAACUGCUUCUCCUGCACCCCUCAAACAUUUAUAAGUUGUGUUUUCAUUUCAAUUUAGUUCAAAAAUUUUUAAAUUUCUUUUGAAAUUUCUCUUUUGACUCAUGUGUUAUUUAAUUUUGUUUGAUUUCCAUGUAGUUUAGGAUUUUCCAAUUAUCUUUCUGUUAUUGAUUUCUAGUUUAAUUUCACUGUGAUAUACACCAGAUAUUACAUGACAUUUCUAUUAUCUUUGAUCUCUUAAAAUGUGCUUUAUGGCCAAGAAUGUGGUCUAUUU